rnacentral:rRNA from 1 species
CAGCGGCAGACGGGUGAGUAACACGUAGGUGAUCUACCCCAGAGACGGGGAUAACGGGUGGAAACAUCCGCUAAUACCGGAUAGGCUUGUUCGGUCAAAGGGACAAGGAAAGGCUCCGGCGCUCUGGGAGGAGCCUGCGGCCCAUCAGCUAGUUGGCGGGGUAACGGCCCACCAAGGCAAAGACGGGUAGGGGGUGUGAGAGCAUGUGCCCCCACAAUGGGACUGGAACACGGCCCAUACUCCUACGGGAGGCAGCAGCAGGGAAUAUUGCACAAUGGACGGAAGUCUGAUGCAGCGACGCCGCGUGGAUGAAGAAGGCCCUCGGGUUGUAAAAUCCUUUACAGGGGGAAGAGGAAGGACGGUACCCCUGGAACAAGUGUCGGCUAACUACGUGCCAGCAGCCGCGGUAAGACGUAGGACACCAAGCGUUAUCCGGAUUUACUGGGCGUAAAGCGUCUGCAGGCGGACAGGUAAGUUGGGCGUGAAAGCUCCGGGCCCAACCCGGAGAGGUCGUUCAAUACUGCGUGUCUAGAGGGUGUCAGAGGGGAGUGGAAUUUCCGGAGUAGCGGUAAAAAUGCGCAGAGAUCGGAAAGAACACCAAUGGCGAAGGCAGCUCCCUGGGGCAAACCUGACGCUAAGAGACGAAAG